UACGAAGGGGGCUAGCGUUGCUCGGAAUCACUGGGCGUAAAGCGCACGUAGGCGGAUUGCUAAGUCAGGGGUGAAAUCCUGGAGCUCAACUCCAGAACUGCCUUUGAUACUGGCGACCUUGAGUCCGGGAGAGGUGAGUGGAACUGCGAGUGUAGAGGUGAAAUUCGUAGAUAUUCGCAAGAACACCAGUGGCGAAGGCGGCUCACUGGCCCGGUACUGACGCUGAGGUGCGAAAGCUAGGGGAGCGAACGGG
rnacentral:rRNA from 1 species